AUUGAACGCUGGCGGCAGGCCUAACACAUGCAAGUCGAACGAGUGGCGGACGGGUGAGUAAUGUCUGGGAAACUGCCUGAUGGAGGGGGAUAACUACUGGAAACGGUAGCUAAUACCGCAUACCAUCGGAUGUGCCCAGAUGGGAUUAGCUAGUCGGUGGGGUAACGGCUCACCAAGGCGACGAUCCCUAGCUGGUCUGAGAGGAUGACCAGCCACACUGGAACUGAGACACGGUCCAGACUCCUACGGGAGGCAGCAGUGGGGAAUAUUGCACAAUGGGCGCAAGUCUGAUGCAGCCACGCCGCGUGUAUGAAGAAGGCCUUCGGGUCGUAAAGUACUUUCAUCGGGGAGGCGGUACCCGCAGAAGAAGCACCGGCUAACUCCGUGCCAGCAGCCGCGGUAAUAC
rnacentral:rRNA from 1 species